rnacentral:rRNA from 1 species
UACGUAGGGGGCAAGCGUUGUCCGGAUUUAUUGGGCGUAAAGAGCUCGUAGGUGGUUCGGUAAGUCUGAUGUGAAAGCCCGGGGCUCACCCCCGGAAGUGCAUUGGAUACUGGCGGACUCGAGUCUCGGAGAGGAGGGUGGAAUUCCUGGUGUAGCGGUGAAAUGCGUAGAUAUCAGGAGGAACACCGGUGGCGAAGGCGGCCCUCUGGACGAUGACUGACGCUGAGACGCGAAAGCGUGGGGAGCAAACAGG